rnacentral:lncRNA from 1 species
UUUUUUUUUUUUUUUCUUAAGAUGUUAUUUAUUUAUUCAUGAGAGACACACAGAGAGAGGCAGAGACACAGGCAGAGGGAGAAGCAGGCUCCCCAGAGGGAGCCUGAUGCAGAACUCGAUCCCAGGACCCUGGGAUCAUGCCCUGAGCCAAAGGCAGACACUCAACCACUGAGCUACCCAGGCAUCCCGCUCCAUGCCCAUCUUAUAUAUUUAAUGCCCCAGUCCCAGAAUUAGCCAUUUUCUCAAGAAGCUCUGGUUCCUUUUCCUAGAGAAUGGUUUUAGAUACCAAGAUCUGGGCCCUAGCUGUGCUUAUUGCUACUGGGUGUUGUUACUUCUAGGCACUCUUAGGGUAUAGUGCUGUGAACUAGUAUGUGUUUAUACUACCACACAUGUACCUGUAUAUCGAUAUUAUUUCUCUGUCUGUAUCCAUCUGUGUCUGUAUUAAGCUAAACAUGGGCUCAUACUUCUGGCUGAUUCUCAUCCAGUACUGCAUGGUUCAUUCUAGCUUCUCACUUUGCUUAGCUGAAACCUGUCGUUCCAACAGUGAGAGACUUCCACCACCCACCAUACAUUUCCUCAUGCUCAGUUUUGGUGAGAGUGCUAGAAAAUUGACACUGUUGGUGCUAUUGGUGUGAGUGUUGGUACAGCCUUUGUGGAAUGCACUUAGGUAGACUAUGUCAAAAACCUUAAAGGUAUCAGCUGGUCAAAGGUUGGAGCAUCAGUUUAGUCUCCAAGGCAGGGAAGGUAGGAGCAGAGUCCCCAGGUGAGAGGAGGGUAGCAGCACUGAGAGGCAGAACACAGACUCAAAUUAGCAGCCCUCAUUACCCCCUGCAGACGAUUGAGAGCCAACGUUUCCCAUCAACCCUCACCUGCAGACCUGUAGCUGAUGGUAAUAGGGAAGCAAAACAUUUGAUGGGUGAGUGCUGCAAAUUCAAUUCUUCAUUAGACAUGUUUUCUUGAUGUUUUUAAAAGGGAUUUGUUCAUGGUUUACCUCUGAGAACAGAUGACUGAUAAUCGUUGGGAAUCCAUUAUUAUUUGAAAUUUAAAAACCAAAGAUAUACUCCUAUUCAUGGAGAGUUUACAAUCUAAAUUGUGAGGUUUUUAUUUAUUUAUUUAUUUUAAGAGGGAGAGAGAGGGAAGGGUGGGACAGAGGGAGAGGGAAAGAGAGAAUCUUAAGCAGGCUCUAUGCCCAAUGCAGACCCCGACAUGGGGCUCGAUCUCACCACCCUGAGAUCAGGACCUGAGCAUUGGAUAUAAAGAGUUGGAUGCUUAACCAACUGAGCCACCCGGGCACCUUGAUAUUGUGAGAUUUAUGCCCGUAAAUGAUCAACCUGAAAAACAACUCAGGCAUUUUUUGUUAAAAACAAACAAACAAACAAAAUACCUGGGACAAACAGCCAAAUAUUCCACUCUGGUUACUGAGCCCUUCCAGGUGCCGUGUGUUGUCACAGCAUCUGCACUGGUCACCUCUGAAGCUGCUGCUUCCUCACAGUACACGUGUGGUAUGUGACACAAACAUAGGAGCUGGAGUAGAGAAUUCCAUAGACUUUUUUCAAAGUAUCAACUACAAAGGGACAGAAGUCUGUUGAAGUAAGAGAGAGAAGAGUACCUAAUUCCUAACAAGAAAUAAUAAUUGUAAACUAUCAUUGUUUAUCUGAGAAGGGAUUAGUGAGGAUUCACGUAUCAAAAUGAACUCCCCCAAGUUUCUCUCUGCUCUUAAUUUGAUAGGUAUGUUGCUAAGACUUUGAAGGAAUUGCUGUGAUAGUUCAAUUCUUUGGUGCUAGGGAGAAUCUGGGGGAGGAGAGGCCAUCCAGGUGAGCUGGAGGGAAGAGGAGGAAAGAGUAUUUACUACUUCUUCCAGGUGGUUUGGGGAAGAUAAGUCAAAUUUGGAGAAAACUAUAAAAAAAUUUAAUUAAGUUGUGGCUACAUCUGAAGAACAGGAUUUCCCUUCAAAGCAGGAAUUGUGGGAGAUGUUCAAGUUGGCUGGCUGUGUAUUCUAACAACAAUCAUACUAAUUGUAAUUAUUUGUAGGUUAUAAACAACUGAAAGGGCGUCUGAAAGCCAAGUUUUAGAUAAAGUAGAACAAUUGAGAGAGGAAAUAGAACUCUGAGGUGUAGAAGGCAUUCUGCAAAAUCCCCAGGUGUAGUCACAGUGUCACCAUCCAGUCAUGGUUUAUGUUUGGAAGGAGAACAAUAGGGCAACAAAAGUCAAAAGAUAUUGAAUUGGCAUUUAAAAAAAUGAAGUGCAUUGUUUUCCAAAAAGUUCCCUUGUUUACCUGUGUGUUGCAAAGAAGUUACCAUUCAUUCAUGAUUCUCUGCACGCCUCCAUACCUCCCAGAGAUUUGGUUAAAACCCCCAUCACUCCCUGGAUUCCCAUAUAACACUCUCCACUGAUGCCUGCACCAAGGUAUAUUACUAGGAGUGGUGUUGUGCAGGCUAACUGAAGUUGGGAAGCCCUCUGGCACAGACAAGGCUAAUCAUUUAAAGAAAAGGGCAAGCGGAUGGCAGCCUGGGUGGCUCAGCGGUUUGGUGCCUGCCUUGGGCCCAGGGCGUGAUCCUGGAGUCCCAGGAUCGAGUCCCACGUCGGGCUCCCUGCAUGGAGCCUGCUUCUCCCUCUGCCUGUGUCUCUGCCUCUCUCUGUGUCUAUCAUAAAUAGAUAAAUUAAAAAAAAAAAGAAAAGAAAAGGGCAAGGGGCUUGUUGUUGAGCCACGGGCAUCUUGAACAGUUAUUCUAGCUUAAACCUGUAUCAGUCAUGUAUGACAACAGGUGGGUGGUCCCUUUAUGGGUCCAUGUUACUGGAAAGAACUAAGGGAACUGUGAUGAUUUCAUCCUGCAGGGAAGGUGAAAUGGGCAUCUUAGAGAGCCUUGGACUAGUGUCUGAGAGGGUUGGUGAUUCUCUGUAGAGUUCAUCAGUGUCCUCCCAACCACGGCCCUUUGAACUAAGGCUUGGGUUGUCUGUACAAGGGAAAUGAGGCAAGCACAAGGAAAGAACAGUAGAAGUUAGGAGAUUUGAGAUAUAAGAUGACAAGCAUCAGCCUUGAUGGUGCUCAUUUUUGGUGAUGGGAAAUGGAACUCUAGACCCUAUAGCAGGGACCUCAAUAUUGAGGGUAGGAGACUAGUAGCCAUUGGUUGUUGAACUAUCACUUAUAUGCAAUGCACAAGACAUCAUCACACAGAACUAGAUCAGGGUAGGACAAAGAAGGACCAUGAUGUGCCA